UUUCAUUUUCAUAUAAUUAAUAGAUAGAAUUUAGUAUAUAUAGAAAAUGCCAAGAAAGUUGUGCCCGAAUGAUUUGUUCCGUAUUGUUUAACGUGAGAUUGUGGGUGGAAACAUGAUAGUUAACCUUUCUAUAAAGUUUAGCCAACCAAACCAAUACACCUUCUCUUUUUCUCUCUUUAAAAUAAACAUUUGAUUUCUAAAAUAAAAAGUUUUAAGAUAUAAAAAAUCAAAAGUUAAAUCGAUAAUAAGAGAGAUAGACGUGUGGACAUCUGAGGGUGAUUCUCCGCCAACGAGAAGAAAAGAACUUAAGAAUUAAAAUUAAAAAUUAAGUAAAAAAAAAAAGAGUUGACAAAAAAAGUAAGAAAGAUAUAAUAUCAAGAUGCUCUUCAAAUACCCCAACCUCAGUUCAUUGGUCCUCCUGCUUUGAUCUUUACUUAUGACUUUUAACUAGUACUAACCA
rnacentral:lncRNA from 1 species